CCCUUAAUCUUAAAUGUUCUCACUUCCCCUUCUCUACUUCCCUGAGGCUGACAGUAUCUAGAGUGCCUCAUUCAGUGUGCAGAACUGUGUAAGGAACAACUUUCUGCCUUUUACAUCUUCCGUGUUUUCCGAGGUAAGCAGGGAGGAAGGAGCUCAUGGAAUUUGGAAGAGGUAAGAGUGACCUGCUCACUACAGCAGAACUACAGCAGGAAAAUGGAUCAUCAGACCCUUCUAACAAAGCCGGUCUAUAGAAGCUCAUCCUCAGGAAGGUCUCUUCCCAGCUGGGGCCCAGGAGACAUAGGAUCUGCAGCUGCAAUGCAGGCACCAGAACAAGUAAACAGGGCUCAAGCAAUUUUUUAGAGGCAGGGUCAAUCCAUAUUGAUCCAAACUGACCUCUCGGAUUAAUUCAGUCAGUCCAAGUUACAGCACUUUCAGGUUUACUUGGUACUUCCUUGCAUUACUGUUGAU